rnacentral:rRNA from 1 species
UACGAAGGGGGCUAGCGUUGCUCGGAAUCACUGGGCGUAAAGGGUGCGUAGGCGGGUCUUUUAAGUCAGGGGUGAAAUCCUGGAGCUCAACUCCAGAACUGCCUUUGAUACUGAAGAUCUUGAGUUCGGGAGAGGUGAGUGGAACUGCGAGUGUAGAGGUGAAAUUCGUAGAUAUUCGCAAGAACACCAGUGGCGAAGGCGGCUCACUGGCCCGAUACUGACGCUGAGGCACGAAAGCGUGGGGA